rnacentral:tRNA from 1 species
AACUGAGAAGCGAUGACUCGCGUCAAGUUUCGGCCUUGAAAUAGGUAUAAGUACUGCCCUUGGUUG